AGCCAAUCCUCUCCCUGAGAGCAAAGUCUGAAGGGUGAUUUUUGCCUCAGAACAUUCACUAGCACUUUUUUAAAAGGCUGGGAUGGUGAAGACUGUUGGAUUUUGCUUUAUUAACACUGCUACUGUCCUUUCCAUGGAUUACACAGCUGCCGAACUGAGAAAACAAACUACCUGAAACUUAAACAACAUUGAAUUUGAUUUCUAAUUCACCUGUGCUUUUUCACUCUGAGCUGAUGGAAUGAAACUUGAACACAACAGUAAUGAAACCAAGGCGUGGUCCAUAACCAGCAAUCCCAGGCACUAUGCUAUUACAAAUAAAUGCUUUCAUCUCUAACAAUGUCUUUUAUAAGUCUGUUUGUUUUCCCAAUUAUUUACUCUCUAGAUGAUUCACCCUACCAUGAAGAUAACAUCUUUUUCCUCUACAUAGGGCACCACCUUUUAGUUCUGUAGCAUGUGAAAGUGUUAACUUCAAAGCACAGUGUAACAUUGCCCACAACUGAUUAAUACUUGUAUCACGCUUUAAAGAUGCAACAGUUUAUGAUUCUGACUAGUAAGUUUUGAACUAAUACCAAAACUGGACUAAUUACUACUGAAAUGAGUGUGGAAAUCAUUCAGUUACACCGUGCAAUAUUAUUACUCCAAUGUUAGUCACUCUGAGUGGAAGCUGAGGGAGAAAUCAAUUAUUUCCUUUGAAACAAGACAAAAGGAAAUCUCUGAAGUAUUACAAAAAUUAACUACAUGAACAUUCAGCCUUAAAAUUAAGUGUAAUCUUUACAUAGUUCAAUAUGCCUCUUAUAAUUCACCCCCAAUAUGUAAAGCAUAGUAGCUGAUCACAUUUAAAAUGCAGGGAAAAACCCAAACUGGUUGUAACAAGUAUGGUCCAUCCUUACCUGAACUUCUGGUUCAAGCUGAGAUAGAAGUCAUCAUGUAUUCCUGCAGUUGAUGCAACAAGAAAUCAUGACCAUGAAGAAUUACAAUUUUUCCCCAACAUAUGCAGGAGCAUCAUGUAUUACAGAUUUCCAGAUUACUGAAGUUUCUGCUAGGCUCAUCCCCACAGCAAAACCUGUAUUUAUUGGAUUUAUCCAUGACUGAUGUAUGGGAUUAGGUGUAUCCAACUGGAUUCAAUGUUUAAUUAUUUUGUUGCAAAACUUCCACUCCCCAGGUAUUGGCUUCAGUUGCAUUACAGCACAGUACCUCAGAACAGAACAUUUUCACUCAAUCUCUUUCCUUCCACAAAUGCACAGUUCUAGCUAUUUGUUGCCCCACAUAUCCAAGAACUGAAGUACUUCCAAAGCCAUUAUUAAAUUCUCAGAGUUACCAAUUUCUGUAGCAAUGGUGGCAUGGAAUCAAAACAAAAAGCACUCAUUUAAAUCAGGAAAAAAAAAUUCAAACUAAGCACAAAUGUGUUUUGAAAAGGAACCCAUUGGUCCUGACUGCCAGCAAACCUUAAUGGGCCAACAGCAAGGCUCACAGACACUCCUUUUCCUCACUGAGUUGCACCCAUACAGCAUCCUUUAGUCCCAGAUGGCACAUUCAUUGAGUGUCCCCUUUAACAAGUCUGAGGGCUCAAAGAGCUAGUACUGACUGUAAGCAAAAUCCAUCUGAACAAUGGCCAGCAUCCCACUGAUGUGCUCUCACUGUAAAGUUGCAGAGUAAAACUUUUCCAUGUUAGACAGGUAAACAGUAAAAUACCAAAAGUAAAUUUAACAAUAGCAUGCUUUAUCUUUCAUAUUACACGUCCCCUCCUCCUUCCACAUUGUUUUGUGCACAGUUUACAAAAUCACAAUCCACCCCUAGGAAACUAAAAUGAGGUACACGUUUCAGAGUAAGGAGUUGGCUGUUCCAAAGUCAUUAAGUCACUUUACUUGGCAUUGUUUCAAAUGCCAAGUCACCUUUACUUGGCUUUGUUUCAAAUGAAAACAAUCUUCCC